AAGAUGCAGACACUGAGGACCCUGUUGUGGGUACUCUAGAUCUGUGGACUGGGCUAGAUUUUGUAUCAUCUAGAUUUAGCCUAGGGCAUGUCUGGGAGGCUAUUUCUAGAACUGUUUAACUGAGUGGAGAGAGACACAUCCUGAGGGGGCAUCACUGUCUGGCGGGCUGGUGUCCUCUGAACAGAAAGAAAAUAGUGAGCUGAGCACUGACUUUCAUCUCUCUCUGUCUCCUGCUUGAAGAUUGAAAAUGAGCAGCCACCCCAUGUGCCUGCUGUCAAGCCUUCCCUGCCAUGAUUCACUAGGUCUCUUCAAACCAUGAAGCGCUGAAUGACAUUCGAUUGUGUGGCUACUCAUGUAAUCACGCACAGAGAGAGAGAGAGAUGUAUAUAAUUCUGCUUAUCCAUUCACUCGUUGAUGGACAUGUGGCUACUGUGAAUAAUGCUGCACACACUCAGCUGAGAAUGGCAGUUCAUGGCUAGAAUCCCAGCACUUGAGAAGCUGAGGCAAGAGAAUCGCUAUGUGUUCAAAGUCAGCCUGGGAUCCAUUGUGAAUUUUGGGUCAGGACGGAUACAAAGACAAACAAACAAACAAACAAACAAACAGGGCCAGGGAGAUGGCUCAGCACCUAAGGGUGAUGAGAGCUAAGCCUAACAUCCUGAGAACUAAAUCUGACAACCUGAUCGCUAGAAUCCGCGUGGUGGAAGUAGAGAAGUGACUACCAGUGCUUUUCUUCUGACCUCCACAAGAAUGGAAGUGUGGGUGGCAUGCAUAUGCAUGCAUGCAUGCACGCAUUUACACACACACAAACACACACUCAGUCAAUCCAUAUAAAUAAAAUAACUCAUCUCUUUCCUUUAUUAAGCAAGUUUGUGCUGAACAAAUAAAUGUACUGUUACUUCUACUAACGCAUGUCUCCUUGAUCUUCACAUAAGAACAGUUUACACUUUCCAUGAAGUCUAGAAGUCUAAAAAGCCUGUCUCCUCUCACCACGGUGUGACAGAAACCAAGAGACAGGACACAGCAGAAAGGAGAAAGAAACCAAGGACAAAGCAAGAGAGACAUUUUGCUUUCUGUCCAGUCGUGGAUGCUUAACACUGGAAGAUGCUCUGAGACAUAUGUCAUAGGAAACAUUACGCCAUUGUGUGAUCAUCACAGUAAGCAUUACACAGAUCUGCAUGGCACUGAGGAUUCAGCCCACCGAGCAAAAUUGCUUCUCCGUAUAAAUGAUCUACCAUUUCCAAAAUUCCUUCCCAAAUGCCUUGACAUUAGCUUUCCAGACUCUACCAACUGUGCAAGAAUCCUCCCGUCUUUGAUGCCGCUCAGAAACAGGAGUAAAUUCAAAUGUGCACAUGAGGCGAGGUUUUUAUUACCACAUUGAAAACAAAUAUCUUUGACAAACAAAUAUGACCAUGACUGUCGUAGUGUUAGGAUAAAUGCACUUCUGUGUCUGGUCUUCCAUCCCAUUUCUGUUUGCUUCUCCAUAUUUAGUAGAGGCCCGCUUUAAAUUUCUGUGAAUUUCAUCACUGUUGAGAUCGCUGUAAAUCUCAUCUCAAAAACUCAA